AUUGAACGCUGGCGGCAUGCCUUACACAUGCAAGUCGAACGGCAGCGCGGUAUUCGGUCUGGCUGCGAGUGGGGAACGGGUGAGUGAUACAUGGGAACGUACCCAGCUGUGGUGGCGUAGUAGUUGACAGAUUAACACAUACGCCAUUAGCGCAGAGGGCGUACGUGGGGGACCGGAGAAGCUUCGAACCAGGCGCGACGGACGAUGUCGGAUUAGCUAGUUGGUGGGGUAAAGGCCCACCAAGGCGACGAUCAGUAGCUGGUCUGAGAGGACGAUCAGCCACACUGGGACUGAGACACGGCCCAGACUCCUACGGGAGGCAGCAGUGGGGAAUUUUGGACAAUGGGGGCAAGCCUGAUCCAGCAAUGCCGCGUGUGUGAAGAAGGCCUUCGGGUUGUAAAGCACUUUUGUCCGGAAAGAAAAGGCGCUGGUUAAUACCUCGCGGGGAUGACGGUACCCAAAGAAUAAGCACCGGCUAACUUCGUG
rnacentral:rRNA from 1 species